UCACUCUUUCCAGCUGAGUCCUGUGGCCACUGGCUUCUUGAGCAUGUGAAGGAAUUCAAAGGGGUAAUCGGAAUUUACAACAGUUGUGGCAGUUGAGAGCUGUUAACAUACAACAGUGGAUUCCUUGAAGACCUGUAAACUGAAAUGAGAACAAGAAGAGCACGAAAAACUCGUAGACUGGUCUCAUUCUUGGAUAGGAAUCCCUCUGGGAGAAAUAAGACCUUCCCUGAAGUAAAAUAGUAACCAUGCAAAGCCAGCUCCUGUUACAGUUAAUUUGGCGAAUGACAUCUGUUUGUAGAUCAGAAUUCUUGC